UGAGCUGCAGCUUGAGGCCCGUGUUCUCACAAGAAUGAAGGCAGCAUUCAAGUUCAAGAUCACAGCCCCAUGACCAUUGCCUAUGACCUACACACUUGGAAGUCACAAGCCCCUAAGCUCUUGCUACUAGAGUUCUUGGUGUUCUGCUAUUGCCCAUGCCUGAAAUAGCUUCCUGUCGGGGAUUGGCUCAAGAAGCACAGACAUGAGUCCACCAAGCAACUGUACGAGCAGAGCCCAUUUUAGUUGACAUAAGUAGGCCUUAGUUAGCUUGUCUAUUAGGCCGUGGGAAAGGGGGGAACGGAAAAGUACUGACUAAAGCAGGGUCAGGAUAUUUUUGAAGAGAUAAGAGUCAGAAGAAUGUGGGAUGCGCAUAGCUAGCUAAACCCAAGUAGGUGGAGUAAGUAAAUGUGCUUAGCCUAUUAGAUAGAGACAAGUAUGCAUAAUUAUGGUAUUUGGUAUAAAUGCACGCUAUCUCGGGCAAUAAAGUUGAAGUAUGCUUUAUCACUCAUAUUGAGUCGGCUGCAUUUCUUCCUCCGUCCGCUCGGGUCUGGAACUCUGAUGGGACUUUUCUCUGCAGCUUCCUUAUUGCAUGGCUGGACAUCUCUAUGAUUAUCUUGCAUCUGCACUUUGAUCAGAAAUCAGAAUCUCUUCAGCUUAAUCACACAGUCACCAUUCAAGCAUAGCUAGCACAGGCUGCUUUCAGUGGAGACAAGCAGCAUAAUACAGUCAGUCACUCCUACAGUGCUCAGUGUCCUCUGACAGAGACGAGUGCUGGCCCCUGCGAGCCGUCUCCUUCACAGCAAGGAUGAGUCACUGCCCACGGGUGAACAGGGAACGCUGUGAUGACACUUGCCAUUGAAAGACAGUGAGGUGGAACAAACAAGUUCUGUUCCACAGCUACAGAAAUUGAAGUAUGCAAAAAGUCGCUGAGACUUUAAUGUCAUGGGAUCUGUGAACUGAAGGCCGCACCCCCGACCAUUACAAAGACACUGGAAGAAGUAUUAAAACAUUCUCAUAAUAUAAGAACCUCAAAAUAGUCUCACGGAAAGAAAGGUGCAGCUUACACCCUUCCUGCAAAGGAAGCCCAAAGAAAUAACUAAAAGUGAAAUUAGUUAUCACCAGGCAACUUCUAGUCCUCCUGGCUUAGUCUGGUAUGGUAUUUUCUGCACCUCCAGCAACUCCACAAUUAUUCUCCUGGACUUGGAAAAAGAAAUGAAAAAGCCUAAGAUGAGAAUGAAAUUCAUGCCAACAUAGUGGAGACUUUGAUUCUUCUUUAAGUCUCUCAUGCUGGAGAGUCAAUGCUCAAAGAAGGCGUGAAGUCAGUGUCAUGGGCUGGCAGUUCUAUUUUGUACCACAUUUGCUUGGAGGAGAGGUGCUCCAGCCCUCUGAUCAUCUUCGUGGCCCUCCUCUGGACUUUCUCUAGCAGGUCCAUGUCCUUCUUAUGCUGGGAGCCCCGGAUUUGGACACAGGACUCCAGAUCACUGCUGGGGACCCAGCUGCGAAAAGCGACAUCCCUUGUAGUGACACAGCGUAGUGCUCCCGGAGCUGCGUAAGUCCCUGUUAUGGGAGAAGGAAGGAAGAGUACGAAGAGGGCUGGCAGCAGUCUCCAAAAGGAGAGUGGGGAGGAGGCCGAAACAGCAAGUCCACUUGUCUAAAUUGGAGACUUAAUGAAAGAAGUUGUGCCUUCCCUGAUUCCAGGUAGCGGAAGAAAAAUCCCUCCCCAGUUAAAGGCUGCACAGGAUACUGUCUGCUGCUUUUUUCUUACUGGCAAUUAAAUAAAAGUGGCUUUUCAAUGAGCUCCGGUGUGACCUUCAAUGCUCUUAUCAAUGCUUUGCUUUUUGUAUUUUCAGGACAUCAUUCUCCCUCUGCAGUUGUGUGCUAAACAAUUUAUAAACUCCUAAGCCUUGCUUAGAAAACAUUUUCAAAAGGGUUAUCCUUUCACAUAAUUUCUUUGUAAUACGAUAGUUAUCAGCUCCUGCCACCUUAUUUUAUCAGUCUGAACUUUCCUUCUCAAUUCCAGCUCUUAACUGUACGUACCACCAUUUCUUGCACCUUUUUACAAUGUCCAUGUUAUUUAAGUGAAAAAUAGUUAAGUAAUGGAUGGUGUGCUCUAAAAUAUGUUGCGCUGAGUGUGCUCAUACUGCAGAAGGGUUGGUUAAAUGGCAAAAGGGCCACCCCUCAGCCGUUACUUUCCUUAUCUACACCAGUCUCACUUAGGAAACAAAAAAUUGGACUUCUCUUUACUUUACUUCUCUGGUAUUGAAUUUGAUCAUAAGUGUUUGAGCUGCUCCGCACAUCAUCUCGAGCAAACUCCUGAAGUUUGGGUGUCCUCCCUUCUAUCCUCUUCUCCCCCUUCCUUCUCACUCUUUAACCAGUGCAUUCAUGGGGAGGCUGAAGCCCAGAUAAGAUGCCCCUCUGCAUUAAAGUCCUCGAUGUAGACCAAACUGAUAGUGAGACAGAACUUGUGGUUUCUUCCUCUCCAAUCUAUAUCCUUCCUGCAAGCAAUCGGUUUGAGUACGUCUGCCAAUAACAGAAACCUUUUUUAAUUGCUUCUUGGACUUUGGCAGCGCUUUGCUUAAAACCCAUUCCUUCUUAGCUGUUGUAGAUGCUGCCAGGUGCCCUUGGAUGUGAUUUUGUUGUGCCCUUCAGGUCAUACCCCUUUUUUCUAUCUGUAACUAGAACAUUGCUGAAGAAGAAGAGUUGGCCUCGUUGCUCUGCGGAAAUAGAAGUGGAGAGGCUCAGCAGCUCACGAGGUUGUCUGAGUUGCCUCUGUCUGAGUGGCCUGGAUGGAGAAAGGGUAGCAGCAACAAGCAUGCUGCAGAAUUUGCUUCAAGAAUGCCCUUAGUGAGUGCAUCUUUGUGAGGAAGGCUAAAACCAAGGAAGGACACACACGUUUCUUACCGGGGUUUAAAGCCUGGGUGGCCACCAGCUUCCCCUGUUCUGUGCCAGGCCCAGCGAGCCGUAGUGCCCACAGGCUCAAUGGAAUCUUAGUUUUCCCCUGGGGCUGCCAUUUGCCCUCAAUGAGAGAACAAGUUCAAAUUUCAUUUGAAGCCAAAUCCACAGGAUGUUUCUUGCUGUUGCAGAAAAGACAGAGAGCUCCAGAAUAUCUAGAAUAACAUAGAUCCAAAGUGUUUUGUAUUUGCAGUUGCUUGAUUUUGGAGGUGAGGCUGACUCAAGACUUUCUGUGCUUGGCUUGGCGAAGUUCACCAGCUUUUCCCAGCUGGGCUGUGUCUCAUGCCUCAGCCUCCGAAUAUUCGAAUAUUCAUCUGCUUCCCUCCAGACAUGUGACCCUGCAAUGCAGAUUACAGGUAGGAUAUAUUUUUGUUUCUUUUUUACCUGGUAAAAUAUUUUCCCUUUGUAUAGUUCGGUGUUAUCUAAACAGUUACUGUCUUUUUGUGUCAUUUUGGAACACAGGUUGAUUCUGCAGACAGUGCAGCACACAGCAUUCAAUGUUUAAACUUUCUAUUCAGCUACAUCCAGACACCACGGCCUUGAAACAAAUGUGUUACAUCACAGUAAUAACCCACUGCAGAGAAAUAAAACUGUUUAUAGUUACUGGAUUUAGUAGAUUAUGUUCACAAAGUAGCUAUUUGAUUCUUUUAAUUUCUUGUCAUAUCCUAUUCUGUUUAAAACUUGAUAUCCUAUUUUUAUCAGAACAGGUGCCACAACUGUAAUGACUGAGACACAGUAUCUCAUUAUAAUAAUAAAAAAAAGUUUGCAGCUUAUUGUCAACUUUCAUAAGACAAUUUGCAGACAGAGCAGGAAAGAGCAGUCAGGUUCAGGAACCUGAUGAAGAAUACAGAGAAAUGUUAAAUAAAUUAUUAGUUAUGCAUUAUUAAAAAUAACAUUCACACUCCUAUAGCUCCUCUCAGACAAUGAACUCAAAGACAUUUAUAAUUAAUUUCACAACGCCAUGUAGGUGAAGGGACUAUGCCACAUUGUUUUUAUGAGCAAAGAGCUGAGACAUUGAGAAGCGGAGUGUUUAAAGUCAUGUAGACCCCCCUGAAUAGCAGCAGGGAGCUUUUCCCAAAGGGCACUCCACCAGGUAACUAAUGUGGGCAGGCAUCCUGAAUGGUUUUCCAGGUUUUAGGCUCCUGGAUCUGGGACCGUCUGUCUGUCCUGGAUUUGACUGGAGUCUGGCCCAAUGAGGUCAUCAGAUUUGCACACUGAGACACUGACCCAGCAUCCCUAACUCUGUGAGAUAUGGGCUGUUCAACUCAUCAUCCCAAAACCCGGAGUCACCAAAAAGGCACCUCACAGUGCAACGCUGUGACAGGGCGCUGGGGUCUCCUGUCACUGUCAUUGAAGCCUGAAACAUUGGAAUGCUGCACAGAAGAGGAAACAAAACAGCUACAACUCACAAAUGCUGGUUUAAUUCGUGGAUGGGGGAGCUGGGACUGGAAACUAUAAUGCCACAUGCUGGCGGGAGGCAGCAGGGCAGUGCUAGUCUGACCUGCUGACAUGCAGUGAGGAAAGCAGUGCUCUGCUGCUGAGCCCAAUGAGAAAAUGAAACUUCUACCCCAAAUAAUUUUGUAACAUAGCAUAUUUAAAAAAAAAAAAAAAAGCAAUGACAUUCGCUGACAAUAACAUUACGCAGAAACACAACUGAGUAUUUCAUCAGGGCUGAAGUCAACUGUGCAGCCCAGAUUACUUCCACUGUUGUAGACGGUGUUGCAGAGAGUGCUGUGGGAAGCAGUAUUUUGGGAAACAGCAUGGUUAGAGAGCCUGAGCCCUGUCAAGCCAGGAGAGUGUGACUUGCUCUCCUUUCCCCAGCACUGCUUGGGUUUGCAAAUGGCUGAUGUUUCUUUUUCCCAGCUUUCAGCCUUAUUUUAUUACUCGUUGGAAAUUGAGACAAAUUGCACUGCACCUGUGGUAUCCUAAGACAGUGUUCCUUAUCAGGCAAAGACAAUCUCUGUGUGAAACAACACAUCUAAAUCUGUCCUUACAUUACCAUCCUUGCCCAGGUGAAGGUGUCUGCUGCACCUGCUCACUGUGCCACACAGUGAAGUCCUGAAGGCAGAAAAUUAUAUUUUUGGUUCUGUUCUUUAAACGUGCAUCUUUUUUCCCCUCCUUCUAAAAUUCUGUUUAUUAUCUAGUCGUGUUUCAAAGAGGCAAUGAAUUUCUGCAUUUAAAACCCUUUCUCAGAAAGUGUUGGGCUUUCUUGGUAAAGAGACAGGUAGGAAGAACCCGUUCCAUUUCAAAUCUCUGAAAAUAAAGCUCCUGGCACAUUAUUGUUGCUUCUCUUGAUUUGCCUUUAUUUAAGGUGUUCCAGGGGUUUGUUGCAUCUGUAUCUGGCAAGAAAUACAUGCAAGAUGCCCCUGGUAUUGGGCUGUGAAAGGUCUAGAGAGUGCCAGGGAAAAGGACAAUCAUGAUGGGCACCCACCUCCUCCUGGGUUGGUGGGCUUCCUCCAGGACAUGCACUUUGGAUGGUGAAAACAGGUGAUUUGUAUUCAGAUAUUGCCAGGACUCCAGCAGCUGAUGGAUGAAAGAACAAAGUGAUUCUCGUGAGGGUUUGUGUAUUUUGUGAUCGUGAACUUUACCUGCACUAAAUAUUCGGUUUCCAUCCUCAAAGCGCCAUCCUUUUCAUAGGAAAUGUUAUGUUAGCACUUGUCCUGCAGCCUUCUACUGACUUAGGGGAUAAAUACUCUGCAAUGAUUGCUCAUAAAAUCAGCUAUGUGAGGAUUUCAUGAAUAUUGGGAUAUUCUUAAUCUGGUGAAUAGCUGACUUUUAUUUGUGUGUUUGUGAAAGAGCGUGAAGAGAAGAAAUCUGUGACGAGCAAUUGCCAUAUUAAUAAUUUAUUUGACAUAAAACUAUUUUGUAUCUUGACAAAAAUCUCUUAUCCCUAUGAAAGCAGAAGUUCCUGAGGCAGUGCAGUUAGCCUCUAGAGUAAUAGGCUUUUUUCUUACCUUCUUUUCUCAUUUUUUAAUAACAAUCUUAUUUACUCUAUUAGACUUCAUCAUUAAUCACUUGUUAGGAGUUUUCUGACUCUACCAGCAAUUAUUUUACCAUAAAGCACCACGUAUUUCCAGACUGAACAGUAGACUACAUAUUCCCCAAUUUGUAAUAAAAAAUAUGUCAAGAAAACUUUUAUGAUUUGUGAAUAAACAGAAUGGAUGCAGGAUCUGAACAACAGAAUGAUGUACAGGUUUGGGAUUUUAUUGCAUUUUUACCACAUGAGAAAAUGACAUUAGGAUUAGAAGGAAAAUAUAUUCUGAAAAUCAGAAAAGGUUACCUCAACUUUUUUGUAGUUACAAGACAUUAUUCAAAUGAGAUAUUUUUAUACCCAUUAGGAAGCCAUCCAGGGUUUAUGCAGAUUUGACAUUUUCUUCUUUCUUUGCUAUUUGUAUGUGGAGCCCAGGGUGAACAGCCUACUUUUUGUUUGCUCUCUCUAAAUAUCUUUGUCUGGGCAGCUGUUGAUUCAGGCCCUGCGAAUAAAUAAAAUGAGGAGGACCUCCUGCAUGAUUUAAAAAUAAAUGCUAUUUUCUGAAUCUCGACUUGCCAUUUGUGGUGUUAGCACUAUCUUACUUAGACAAAUAAACGGCCUAUUCUCCCUCCUCACGAAAUUAUUAGCUUUUCACUUGCAGAAGCUGCAGGAAGUGAACUUUGCUGACACUAAUGGGAGGUGAUGGCGGGCGAGGGAAGAUGCUGCCUUUGUCCAAGAGGAGGAGAAGCUCUGUGAGCCCAGCACGCCCGCAGCGCUCCGGCUGCCUGCACGGCUUUCAUUCUCCAAGUGUUUGUGAGUGUUACUGAGGGAAAUCAAAGACAAAGUCCUUUAAGACUUCAGUCCUGUCACCCCCCUGCUCGCUGCCUCUCAUCAUCGCUUAUAGUGGACUGUUCACACAAAAAAAAACAGUGCUCACCCAGUGCACAAAUUGAAAAAGGGGGUCAGGUGGUAGAAAAUGCAUUAAUUCAUAAUAAGAAUAGCAACAACAAUUCUAUUAGCCUCAUUUUGCACAUAUGGAAAUGGAGGCAUGAAAAAGCACCACGUGCUGAAGCUGGGAGCGGCAGCUGGGGCUGCGGCUGGGACACUCCCCUUUCCAGGUCUCUCUUCUAACAACUAGACUACUUUGUGCCAUCCCAGCAGGCAAUUUCUGCCCAAUAUUCUUUAUUUAGCAUGACUAUAACCUGCCAAGAGAGCCUCACACAGCUACAGCUCUUUGAGGUAUCCUCACUGACUCUCAGCCAUGUUUGCACUGCCUCUUGAGGAGCACCAGGCAGUUUGGAUGAACGCUCCUCAGCUGGCAGCUCAGUGACUGUGUUUGCAUGAUGUAGCUCACCUGAGGCCUUUGUUACAUCCCAUUGACAUGUUGAAGGCUACCAUGCUAGCUGCACCCUGUACUGAUGUUUUAGCUCUCAUUUCUUUCAGACAGUCCAAACCUGGACAAAAUAAUAGAGACAAUAUGUCAUGCUCCUGUGCAAUAAUAGGAAGAGUUGGAUAUGGAAAGAUAUUAGUUUGAGGCUGAAGGUGCUAAGAGUACCAGAAAAAGUGCUAAGCAUGUUCAGUAUCUGUUGCUCUCAGCAGGAGCAGAGACUCUCAGCUUCUCCUAGAUGACACCGAGUACUCAUCGAGAUCACCCCAAUUGUGAAAUCCAUGCUCCUUGGCUGGCAAAAUGUAAGGAGACGUGAGGAAAGCUGUCAAAUAAAAAGUGGAACAGACACUGUGGCUUCACCAGAUAUGGAAGAAGCCUGGGAAACCCUACAUUUUUAUUUGAAUAACACAUACAAAUGUACUCUGUGAAAAAUGCUGCCCCAUGGCUGCAAAGGCCAAAUGAGACACUGGAGCUCCAGUCUCCAGGUCUUAUGUGGGUUGUCAGGGUCCCAGGGUGGGUGGCUGCUCUGUCACCCCUCCCUCCCACUCCAGCAGAGUGAUGAUGUGUGUGUGUGCAAUGGGAGAGCAAACCAUUAAACUGGGAAUCUUCGCUACAAUAAUGUUUCAACAAUCUCUUCAGGGCUCCCUGUUGUAUUAGCUUUUUGCCAGCUAAGAAGGAUUUGCAAGUGAUGGGAGGUAAGGCUGCUGAUUUUUAGGUAGAUCUGGAAGGACUCUUGUGUUGACUGUGUCCUCAUUAAUGCUCUUGAGGAGCACACUUCUGGCACAUCAAAGUACUUAAAUAAGUGCCACUUCAGUGCUAUUUAGCACACAUUCAAUACUUGAAAUUAGAAAGAAACUUUCAAGUCCUGACUCUGAUCCAGGAGUUAUUUGAUGGAGUAACGUUAUCACCUGAUUUCUGUUCAGAUCUCUCUGCAAUUUUACCUUUCUCCAGUAUUAUCUGGGAGUUUGGUCCUCACAGUUUCUUUUUCUUCUUCUUCUACAUGGCCCAUAUGUAACUGCUCCCAGCACACUCCAUCCCUUUCAUGCUCCAAUCCGGUCCUGCCAGAGGGAGCUCAUUGCCACGUGGUGUCCAGCAGGUCUUAUUGCUCUGGCAGGAGCUCAAAGUACCUGUCAGUGCAUCUGCAGCUUCCCAUAGUCAAAUGAACAUUUGAUAGAACAUGGAAAUGACUCAUGGGGGUGACACCUAACAUGGUUAUCAAGGCCCUACCUGUGAAGUUGCCAGUCAUAUGUCCUAUUUUCAGUACAUUCCUUUUCUUCCUCUAUUCUCUCAGUUCUUUCCGAUACUGUCUAUGAUUUUUGUCCCCCAGCACCUCCACAGCACAGUGCCACCUAAGAUCCCAUCUCCCCAGCAUCACUUCCUCCACAGUUCUUAAGUGCUUCUUGGUGUGAUGCACUCCCUGACUGUGUGAUGCACUCAGCUGGCUUGUGUCUGUCUGUCUGCUGUCACACAGGGCUACAUAAGCAAAGUUCUGGCUACUGGUGCAGACCUUUCACCUUAUCUGGGCCCGUUCAUGCUGAAGCCAGCGCAGCAGGGCUCAUGAUGGCAGUGUGAGCUCACACACUAGGAGCACAGGAUUCCCUUGGACAAUGUAAGCUCCCCUGUAGGGUACAGAUACACAACCUUGUACUUGUCCAUGGACAUCCUGUGCCAUCCAAUGCUGGCUGUCUGGAUGCUGCUAAGUCCAGCUGUCUGUUUGUGACAUGUAGGGACACAAAAUGGAAAGCUGUGGCAGAGUGCUGUGAUGCACAGUGAACAGGUGCUGCAGAGGAGAUGGGUCUGCAAGGUGUCCAAAUAGAAUGUCUCAUGCUUAGCAGGGGCGAUGUAGCAGGGCUGCUGUGAACAUCUUGGUGAGGAUUGUUCUAAGCAAUCUCUGUUGUCACCGUACAUAUUAGAAAUCCCGGAGAGAGACUGAAAAUGUUUUGGAGUUUCCAGUGUGUUAGAGCAGGAGGCAGUGGAGACAGAUAAAAGUGAAUACUACUCAUGUCUGCUGUUGUCGUCUUCUCCUAAACCUCCAGAACGUAGGAAAAGGACAUCAGAUUAAAUACAAUUUAUCAUCAGGCUGGAAAAGGAUUAAAUUCCUGCUAGUCAGCAUAGUCAAUUAAAUGAAAUUUAGUUUUCUUUCCAAAUGUGUGCACAGGACAUACCCAAAGCGUCCAGCUGACAAACCCAAGCAAAACGGACCGGUCUGCAUUUCUCUUCAAGCAAAUGGCAAAUCUGAACCACUUCCAGAGAUAGUGGUCGCUGCGUGGCAAAGCUGGCCAGACCUGGUCAAAGCUCAAGCAGAUGGAGCUGAAGCUUGUCUGAGGAAUGCAUAUCUCUGGGAAAAGCCAGGCUUACGCAGUCCGCAGCUGGAGGAGGAAAGGAAUGCUUUUGGGGUCAUGUAGACCAAACCGUCUAGAAACAGAACAUGAAGUCAAGGACAGUGCAAGUGCUGCAUGGCAGGAUGAACACUUCUUGAGAGAAAAGAUUAAACUAGGUCAUAAAAACUAAGGAAAGAAGAGAAACCACACUAUUUAUUAGUGAUUCCUAGGUUGCUCAGUAGCCCAUAUCAGGUGUCUGAACCAGAGACAGAUUUCACAGUGAUUAGAAUUAUUCCUAAUUUCAGCUCAUUUUUAAGAAAAAAACCCUUAUUUUUUGCAAGUCUUAUCACAGAAACUAAAGGUAUUAUAUAAGUUGUCAUGUGCUAGCCUGCUUCAGUGGCAAAGCUGGGCUGUAACUCCCAGCAAAGUGUCACAGGUCCCUUUCAUUCCCCCACUGGUGGCAGGUGUGCCAGCCAAUGGGGGUGGCAAUCAGCUCCCCAUCCUUUGGGAGCAUUCAAAGCACCCACGUCUUCCCAACAACUUUCUUUUAAAGGUAAGAAAGACAAACCUUAAAACAACAUCCUGAGAUGUCUGUUGAGGUUUUUAUCAAGUGAACGUUUAGCUGCUUAAAGCUUUAUCAAAACCUGACUGGAGGUGCUAUAUUCAUACUGAAGCUUAUCCUUGUAACAGAGCAGCUCUGACUGUGGUUGGGAGCACAAUGAGGUGGUUGGUUUCUUCUUGUCAGGUGAGAUUUCCUCAUCCUGGGAGCGCUCUCAUUUCCCAGCAGCCAUGAAGGUCUGUCAUAGCUACUGUUUCUCUGAUGUAGGCCGUUUCAUGACCUAAGUAGAGAUGAAAACAUUGGUACAGAACCCUGAACUCAGGAUUGUUGAAAAAAGUUGCUCUACUGCAGGUGUAAUCGACUGAUGGGAGGCACAAUUGCUGACUACCUGCUGUGGAGGUGUGUGGAAAGAGCGUGAAAGAAGCACUCAUCUUUCUUGUAUCUAGCUCCUUUGCUGCUGUUAAAACUAAUCACUGUAGUCAGCAUGUCUCGUGAUGUGAACUCCUGAAGGGACAGAAAAGUGUUAUGCCCGUGUCUAGCACUGACUUCCAGACGUGCAUGGUGACAAAGACGAGAGCAGCACUGCUCCCAGCAGUGUGGCAGCAUGACAUUCCCCUGUGCUUUCUGGACCCCUUAAAGGCCCACAGAUUUAUGGUAAACCACAAACUAUUCAAGGCCUGUUAAACUACCUGCUGUGCUGUUUUAAACCUGAGCUAAAGUGGGGCUUUCAGAGAGGGAAGGAGAAUUUGUCUUCUGUACAUUUUAGAGAGCCAUGUAACAAGAGCAUUUAUUUUUCCUCAGGGUGCUUGAGUAGACUUGUAUGGGUAAAGUUUUUCUGUUUGCACAUGGUUAUAAAUGUUAUUGUGCUGCUACGUAACUUAAUCUUGGAAAAGUCCUCUAUGUUACCAGGGGAAAAUCUCCAAGAGACACAGAGGAGUCUCUUAGUAUAACAUAAGAAUAUGGUUUCCUAUCAAAAAAACACUUUUCAAGUUUUCUCUUAUUCUUCCUCAUUCAAGAGAUUUGUGCCUGAAUUACCUCUGUUUGCCCAGAAAGAAUAGGUAUUUAGCCAGAAAUGAAUUUACUUACAAUGUAUGUUACUUUACAUUGUGUCAUUGGCUUAUGUUGCAGCACAGUAGGGUGCACCAAGAUAACAUGAAAUGGCGUUACAGGUGAUGAUGUGACAUGAGUGAUGAAACAUCCCAAGAAACAACUCUCCUUCCCCUUCAAAAUCAAAUAGCAGUCAUUACCCAGUCUUUGUUUCAAGUUUAAGUUACCAUCUAACAGGAAAGUCAUCUAUUGUGGUGGUGGUGGGUUUUUGCUUUCAAAGGCAUUGGGGCAAUCUGAAGCUUCAGCUGAGUUGGAACCAUUUUCUGAGAUUGCUGAGUAUGUCUAACUUUUUCUUUAAAGAUGAUGUUGUAUUCUGGCAGACAGUAUCAGACUUGUCACAUAAUGCCAGGGGUCUGAAAGUUUCUGAGCUUUGCUUGUAAUUGCUUCAAAACAAAUCUGUUUGAUGAAUAUAUACACAAGUGCUAAUAAAGAUAAUAAAGAUUAUCAUAGGUGUGGCUGCAAAGUGUAAAUUACCUAAGUCAUUUAUAAGUUGCCGCAUAAUGUUUAUUUACCACUAAUUUUCUAUAUUUUGCAAAUAUCAUCUACCCUUGCAAAACAGGGGUGCCCAUUCCACCCACCUUUCCCAGCGUUCGGUUACACUGGGGUCUAAGGAACUUUUGGAGAGUUGUUUCCUUCAGUGCCUACAGCUGCUGCCUGAUUUGAAGACAGGGGCUACUGGUGGAUGUCUUGCACAUUUGUAGUAACGAUAUCGCUGUAUUACACUGCAGAGAUUUUUGGUAUAUGACCUUGGCAUGGCUUGUGGUCCUCUGUGUAUUAGCCUGCCUUCCCAGGAUUUGUGUUGAAUUUCAGAUCUUGUGUUCACCCAAGUAGCUACCAUUUAAUACCAUAAUAAAUAAACGCUUUGUAAUGACAAAGCAUUUUAAGCCUGUCCCUUAGACACUGCAGGAUUGUAGGCAGAAGUCAGAAGCUUUUAAAGCUUUUCUACUGGGCCUCCCACGUCAGCACCUCUGGAAGAACCAACAAUUACAUCCUUAAAAGCCAAGACAGAAACAUGCAUCUGUUUCUGUUCUAACAGUUAAAAAAAUAUCAAUGGCUAUACAUUUUAGGUGAUCAUGGCUUUAUCUGAACCUUGAACUGUUGGCUUAUGGUAAUUCACAGGAAUAAAAAUAGCCUUGGGAUAUGUUCCUAAAUUAGCUUUUCUGUGGUAUCUCAUGUACAAAUAGACCAAAGUCUCUUGACUGAUGGUUUUAUGAGCCUUGGUUAGGAUAUUCUAAAUUUCCUGUACAUAAGGAUUAAUUAGUUCAUGUGUAAUAGCUUUAAAUGUACUUGGCAUUAUUAUAGGCAAAAUAUGGAACCGAUAGUAGCAUAAAAUAAUAUCAAAGCUAAAAUGUAAAGUUUUGGCAAUUGCUUUAUGGUUAUUUAAACUGAAGAAGCUAAAAAUGACAUUAAAUUGCUGGGGUGGUCUACUUGCUGGAACAAAGUCCCUGGCUCAUAAUGAGUUUGCCCUUUCCAUAGUGCUGAGCAAGUUUUGCAUCCUGCUGUUUCUUCUUGCAUCCCAUUUCUAAUGGCUCCAAGACUUGCCUUUGAAGCAACAUAAUCAGUUUCACUGGCAGAAGACAGGGAAAUAAACAACAUUUUAAUGUGCUGAUAUAUUCACAUCACAAUUAAACUUAAUGCAUUAUGUGUUUGGAAGAGAGCUUUUUACUAUAAACUCAUUGAUUGGAUCUCUUUUUUGUUGUUUUGUUUGUGGUGGGAUUUUGGUUUUUUGGGGUUGGAUUGGUUGGUUUUUGACAUUUUAUACAGAUACAAGAUCUACUACGGAGUGUUUUUCAGCUAAGGCUUUAUGAUCCUUUUGUAAACCAAACAUAGGAAGGGAAAAAUCUGUGCACUAAGCAAUUGCUGUAACUGACCAACAGUUAAAUAUAGCACAUGUACAUAUCGUUCAGUUAUUCAGUGUAAUUCAGGAUAUGUUUACUUGAUAGUUUUGUGAUAUAAACUGCUUUAUCCGGUGACAUAUCUCCCAGAUUUAACCUACUUACAGAUGCUUAUGAGCAUUUGCUGUUCCUGAGCAUUCCUAAACUCUGAAAACAUCAAUAGGGAAAUUAUACCAGCACAGGAAUUCAAAUGCUAUGGGGGAGUGACUGGAGAUACAAGUCUGUCUACGACUUGAAAAUCAGUGUUCCUUGGCUUUUGCUUCCUUCACCUCCUAAGGCACAAAGACUUUUGCUUUUAUUUAUAAAGGGGCAUUUUGCAUUUACAUUUGCCAUCUGCUUGCUUAUUCCCAGAGAUGGGUGGGAUAUCAGUAAGCUACGACUCUGCGGGCAGCAGAGCCCAGCGGUGCGAGUCACAAUGUGUGUGCACACGGGCAUCUGCCGGGAACUGGAAGUCUGCAGCAGACCUGAACUCUAAAUAAAUUCCAACAGGCAGAGAAAAUUGUGCAAGCUGCCUGAUUUUCCAGCCCUCUGAGGAAAAUUUGCCCUUUCUUUGAGUCUGAUUUCACCGUGGCUUUGUGCCCCAUAUUUUAUAUUGCUGUGUGCAAUAUAAAAUGUUUCUCGUCUGCAAACAUGCUAAAAUGGCAAUUCUGAGACUUCAUCUGGCGCAGGUGAGGAACAAGGUGGGGUCUCACAAAGCCUUUUAUUUGGGUUAUUUAGCUUCUCGAUAGGCAGCUGCUUUUCCCUUGGACUUAUCUUGAACUGGUUUUUGACCUGCAUGUCAGACUGUUGAGUUCUGUCCUUGCUGAAGGGGCAUGGCUGGUACCUGUCAGUGGGUUUUUCACAGCAACCACUUCUUGUUGUUUGGAGUGAAACAACAUGUCCUAGUUCAAACGGGUUGGUGCAAAGGGUUCUUCUAAUCUCUGUAUUUCAUGUUCUCUCUGCUAUGGAAACAGUGUAUUUGGUCAAAACUAACAGGCACAGGUGCCAGUGACAGCUCUGGUGACAAGAGGCAAAGUAGGUAUUGCCUAAAGGAGGCAAGAUGGCCAUGGUCCUACCCAGCUGUGGCAGAUCCUCGUGAUAGUUCAGCUGCUGGUGUGGGGGUACAAUGAGUACUGACUGGUUGGAGGGCAGGUGAAGGGAGGUGGGACAUGAAUGAACUUGAAAUCUUCCAUCAGAAAGAAGACAAACAUACAGUAAUGAGAGUGACAAGAUACAAAAUCUUUCAUGGAAGAUGCUGUUGCUUUUUUGUACCAAAACUUGCAGGUGCUCUAACAGGUAAUGGCUAGUCAAGCACAAACCGGGAUCAUUGAAAAGAGCUCCUGGCUUAAAAUGUUUGGCCUAUGUCAUAUAUCAGAGAUCAGGCUGAAUGACCAAAACCUCUCUCCCUCCGGCCUACAAAGACAUGAAGAAAUGAAAUAAAAAAACUGCUACCACCAGCAACAACAAAAUGGCAUUGUUGUCCAAAUUCUUACAGAGACUGAACUGGCAUCUCAUGGCAAACUGCGCCUGUCCUGCCCAACAUCUGAGGAUGCUUUUUGCAGCCAAUAUGAUCCACAACCCCAGAGUGUGAAUUCUGAUUAAUUUCAGCCACAGUUUUGUGGCUGGUGCUUGGCUAUUAACAUCUUGCGAAACAAUCAAAAUCCAUUAAUAACCUAACCCUUCAUUAGCAACUUUUACAUGGCUUCAUCCAUCAGGAAGGCCUCAGCAAGAGGCCUGGCCUGAAGACUGCAAUUGGUGAUAACAGCCAUAAACUGUACAGACCUUUCCUGCCAGGACAUAGAACCUUCAAGCAAUUCAACCUUCAACCUCUCAGCAAUUUGCUUUGAGCUUCCUUCCAGGCAGCACUGUGGACACCAUCUCCUCUGUGGAUUAAGAACUUGUUUGUACUGGUUUUUAAUUAUAUUUUAUUUUCUGCUCACAAGGGGCUUUAUAAAUGCUGGCUGGACAUAGUGGAGCUGUGCUGCAGGUUAGAGGAAAAAUUAUUUCUAUGCUACAGAAACGCUGCUUGCAAUAUUAAGGUCACACUGUCCUAACAUGAUCCUACUGCAGAGAUGAAUACAGAUUCCGAUGCAUCGUGUAGUGCUGUGUCGUCCCCAAUUAACUGAAGGCGGUUUGCCCCAGGGCCCGACGAUUCAUCUGUUCCUGGGAGCUUGCAUCAACAUACAACAAAAUUGAAAGAUUCUUCAACAACAAACAGCCUGCUCAUUCAUCUGUUGUUUUGUUGAGGUGCUGUUCUCGUUACCACAUUUGGUGCAAUUUGUAUGUGUGAUAGUCAUAAAAAAAAUUACUGUCGCAUCCUUGCUUUGGGGCACAAAAGAUCAACAAAGCAAAUAGGUGCUGCUUUAUGGGGCAACGAAAAUGCACCAAUUUGGAUGCUGCUCAUUAGGGAGCUAAAAAGGUUUUAAUCCUUAUUUAGAAUUUUGCGUGCUUGUGUGUCUUUUGUUUUCAGUUUUUAUAAUUAAUUUGCACAAGCAUCCUGUGUAAAGGGUUCCUCACCAUACAUGAGCCUGCUCCCUUUCAUCCUCCACACAUCCCCCAAUAUUGAAAGAGUAAUAAUGUUGGAUCUGUGUUCUGAGCAGUACUGCUUGCUGAAAAGAAUUAUUCAGAUCAUUUACUUGAGCAGUGAUCACAGUAAGUGGGAUCUUACAAGCACCUAUGAGGAAAUAUUGAGCUGCCACACUGGAUUAAAAGCUGAAGCUGUAUUACUAUUUUCUGUUCCAGUUCAUGAGGAAAUAAUCUUAUUUACUAUGCAAUUUAAAAAAUACUUUGAGUUAAUAAUGCAACCUUCAAAAAUUCUCGAGAGUUGUGUUUAAACUGCUAAGACAAACAUUUUCUUUUCUGGUAGCUUCCUAAGUUAAGAGCUGUCAACUGGGAAGACAUAAGCACAGAGAUCAAAGGAUGGGACUUGCAUAUAAAUUCUUCCUUUUUAGCAGAAAGUAAAAUGUUAUUUAGGUAAUGAAAAUUACCGAUAACUAAGGCUCUCUCUUAAUUAGUUUGUGAACGUAUUUCCAGCAAUGUAAAGAUCAAUGUGGAAAAACAAAAUUUCCAUUAAAGAUGCUACCUCUGUUCAGCCAAUAAUGCGUUCGCAUUUCACAAUGUGAUGUGACACCAGCUGAUGGUGUUUCUGUCACCAACCGGCUGCUCCGUGGCGGAGCCCAUGGACACGCUGCUCAGCUCCCCAGCAGCUGCCUUCACCGACAAGAGUCAUACGGAGAUGAGGGCGGGGAAGUAACACACAGUAAAAAGACAUAAUAUUCAUAAGCAUGUUUAGGGUUGCUCCCUAAGUCAAGAUAACCCCUGGAUGUAUCAGAGAAACAAGAAAAUAUUUUAAAGGCCUGUUUUGGGAUAUGCUGUUUCAGAAAGCCUUAACAUCCCACAUUUCUUAAAGGUCUUUUAAAAAGGUCAAAUCGUGAAAUCAUGCAAAUUUUUCCCUUUUAGUUAGAAAACAAGGAUCUAUGAGAGAGAAAAUUUUUAUUUGUUAUGAGCAAUAUUCUUGUGGUUAGGAUGAUCCAAAUAUUUAUUUAGCAACAGUGGUUAUGUGGUAGCACAGGUAACCUUCCAAUCAAUGCCUAGUUCUCAAUUAUUAGUACUGAUCUCCACCAGCCUCUAAAUAUCCUCUUCCCUCAUUGAGAACAGGAAUAAGCUAUUC